rnacentral:misc_RNA from 1 species
AAAAAAAAAAAAAAAAAAAGGAAUCAAAGAGUCUAUUAGUUUACCUUUUAGUUACACCUUCAUGUGCUCCCUUGAUGUGAAGAUGUUGCAACUAGUUGGCUUCUCCUCAAUGGAGAAUUUUAUUGGCACUUUGGUAACUACCAAGAUCUUAUGGAAACAACUACUCCGAACAAUAAACUGCAAUUUCUCUUACAUUCUCCAAACAUUUUUAAAGUCAACUACCAAAGCCAAUCCAAUAUAUUUUGACAUGUUGCAUCAAACAAGGCCAAUAGCUGUUAACAACGGUUCAUCUCAAAGAUAAGAACAACCAAUCCCAUGAAAAAGAAGGAUCAUUUGAACUACUUUGAUAAAGAAUCAUUAAGAUCACUCAUCUUGACUAAACAAGGCCUUCCAAGAAGGACCUCAAAUUUUUCACAUCUUCUUUUGACUCUGGAUGCAUUUGCUGUUUAAACAUUUUCCAUAGUUCAAUAGGAUGUUGUCUUUUGACCUGAACAUCUCCUGAAAACCUCCCAAACAUUUUUCCACACUCUAGAUAUGGCUUGACAUAUAGAUUAUAGAAUUUAAUCCUACUCAACUUUAUCAUACCUUUUAGUCCCACCUCAUCACUAAGCCCUCUUUUUGCACGCAAAUACUCAAUCACAUUAUAUCGAGGAACAAUCUGUUUGUCAAAACUUACUCCCAAAUACUCUGGAACUUCAACCAAGCAGCCAACAUUGAAUUUCAUUGUGUUCACCAAAAACUCAAUCUUCUUCUCAAUGUCCUGUACAUCAUAAAUAAUCACCCUUGGUUCUUUCCACAAAACCUUAAAAGCUUCUCUACGAAUCAACCCAUGUUUACAUAAGCAAUCAACUAUUUGCUUUACUUCAAACCCAGCUCUAAAUGCUCCAUCACUAAAAAUCUUUAAUUUGAUUGGCGUUCGACAUUUCAAAGAACUAAGCAAUUCCAAACACCUAGCAAAUUCACCUAAUUCCAUACCAAGAAAUCGUGGCUCCCUAAUAAUCUCUUUUCGAAUAAACUCUUUGCUAAAACCCAAACUCUCGAACUCAUCAACCAAUGGCAUCAGCCUAUUUUCAAUUAGAAAUCCUAAAGCCUCAGGAUAGGAAUUGAAAAUCCAAUCGAUCUCAUCCCUUUGAAUCCCAAUUUGUAUAAAGAACUCAAUUCUCUGAUGUAUUUCACUUUUCUUCAUUGUUAUUGCUCCAGGAAAACCCUCUAACACCUUCCUCACAGUACCUUCACUAAAACCUAUACCCUUCAAAACAUCCACACUCUUGUUAAACCCAUCCGGAUCAAUUUGAAACCUUUUAGCAUAUGCUAAAACACUCUUUAUCAACAAUGGGGAAAUAUUCAAAACCCCAGAUUUUGAAAAAAUCAUUUCCCAUUUCUUCAAAAAUUUAAAUUCCAAAACUCCAGGACAUUCAGUAAUCAAAGAAACAACAAAUUUCUGUGGGAUUUUGAAGGAUAAGAGAAUACCAAGGGACUUCUCAAUUUCAUGUAAAUUGGAACCCAAAAGAAAGCGACUUGUACUGAUGAAACUGUGAAGUUGGGAUGGAGGGAAACCAUACCUUUGGAAGAGAUUAGCGAGGGAAAUUUGUUUCCUGUACAGGGAUUCAUUUGAGGAAUUAGGCAUUGUGGACAGGAAAUGAAGUCUUUCAUUUGGAUGAGUAGGGAGUGGCUUUGAGGAUAACACUAAGCAACGGAGAGCAGUUCUAAUGUGAAGGAUCUUAGUGGCCAUUGAUGAAUUCAAGCUGGAAGGAAUGUUCUCUUAUUACCAAAGCCCUUAUCAAAUAGCUAACUUUUGUUUCCCAAUAUACUAGACCACCCUGCUUUCAUCACUAUUACAGCAGAAAAUAUCAAAUGUUAACUAAGAAAUGAACUGAUAAAUUACAUAAAAAAAAGUAGGAGCAGGGAAAUGAAGUCAACAAUUUUUGUUACCUACAUUUUCUCAAGACCACCCAUUCUGAGAGUAAAGAAGAUAUAUCAUGAGCUUUCAUCAUCCAAAGUUGGAAGAUGCAUUUCCAACAAGCAUUAAAAUGAUUUUUAAACUGAGAACCCAACAUGGUUAUCAGCUCCAAAAACUGCAUAACAUGUUCGAAUUGAUUUCAAGGAAUAAGGACUAAAUUAACAGCUUUAACAGAAUACACGAUAAUAAAGCCUUGGGAAAAUCCUAAAGGAAGAAAAACAAUUAACAAAUAAACAAGACUCACACCAAAUUGAAAUCCACAAAACACCCAAGCAAACUAAGAUUAAACCACAAAAAAAUCAGAAGAAGGAAAGUGAACAGAGAUGCAGAGAGAACCUGAAAAACAGUAGGCUGUGGCAAAUUAUUCAAGACAGAGAGGUCGACAAACAGUGCUGGUGGUGAGCAUCACUAAUGCAGCCUUCAAGAUUUACCAUAGAAAAAAAAUCAAUAUCAGCAAUAUUAAAAUAAAUUAUUACAGCAAAUUGACAAAAAAAAUUUGAAACCCAAAAGAAAAGUAUAUCAAAUUAUACCUAAGGAUUUGGAUCAAAAGCAAAUACUAGGUGUUCCAAUUUAGCAAAACCAGAUAAAACAGCAGCAAGCUACAGCCUUACCCAGUAACUAAAUAUGAAAUUAGACCGUGUGUGGUGUAUCUUGAAAACUAAUUCUACAUGCAGAAUUUCCUAAAACUUCAAGCUGCCAAAGCAGAAGAGUUUUAUCCAAAGAGAUAUAACUCAUACAGUCAUUUUCCACAGCCGAGUAAAUCAAACAGUUAUUUCAAACACAACCAAGUGCGUAAUUCUUUUACUUUAAAGUGCAUUGACACUUAAAUAGGUAACGUAACCAAUUGCUUUCCUUAGACACUUAAAUAGCUUAAAAGAAGUUAUAGACAGCGGGGGAAAAAUAGGACAAGCAAGCAAGCCAUAAACAGUAAAAAAAAUAAAAAAAGAAAAUAAACUAGCAACAGCAAGAAGAAGUUAUUCAUAAAAACAACAAGCAGGAACUAGAUCCUUUGAUUCAAGCAUAAGAAGUAGCAAAACCCAACAACCCUAAAAAGUCGUAAAUUCCACUGUUUCGCCAUAAAUAAUCAAAUAAAAAACGCAAAAAUAUGACAAAUAAGAAACAAAUCUCUUAGUGAAACGAAAAUCAAAACAGCAAGUCGGGGGUAACUCUAUGACAUUCAAACCAAGAAUCUACUGAAAAUAAGCCGGAUCUGCUGUGCUGAGAACGAGUCUGUGUUGAGACCGAUGCAACCGAAGAAGAAACGCUGAUUUUGUCCGCUGAAAAUAAGCCGGAUCUGCUGUGCUGAGAACGAGUCUGUGUUGAGACCGAUGCAACCGAAGAAGAAACGCUGAUUUUGUCCGAAGGGAAAUUGCCAGAGCCAAAGGCAUGAGGGAAGGGAAGAAGAAGUCUG